GUUCGUUAAAAUACAAGGCAUGCAAAUGACAAAAAUGAUGCAAAAUUUGCUCAUAAAAUUAAAAAUAACCGACUUCCUGUUGGGUUUCGGAUAUUGCUCCAAGAGUCUUUUUUGUAGGUACUGAUGCUUUACAUAUGUGUGCCAAUUUUCGUGCAUGUACGUGAAACACAGCUCGAGGGCUGUUGAUUUUUUUACGGUAGGUGGCGCUGUCGAGCCAUUUUGCCACACUCUCUUCUGAAACCUAUAUCAGACGUAAAUUUUCACCAGGUCUGACGCGUGUGCAAAGUUUCAGGACUUUUCGAGCAUGUUUAGGCCCUCAAAAAUGCGAUUCAUUUUGGAGAAGAAGAAGAAGAAGAAGAAGAAUAAUAAUAAUUAAAGCUGCAAGCAGCGAUGAACGGGCCCUCGCACCCGGGCUCACCGCCAGCGGGUGGCUUUAGUAAAACAGCUAACGGCGAGAAAUAUGCGUUUAAUGUGGUAAAUAUAAGAGGAAUAUGUCAAAG
ensembl:lncRNA